rnacentral:rRNA from 2 species
UACGAACCGUCCAAACGUUAUUCGGAUUUAUUGGGCUUAAAGGGUAUGUAGGCGGCCCUUCAAGUCGGGUGUGAAAGCCCUCGGCUCAACCGAGGAACUGCGCCCGAUACUGUGGGGCUCGAGGGAGACAGAGGUAAGCGGAACUGAUGGUGGAGCGGUGAAAUGCGUUGAUAUCAUCAGGAACACCAGUGGCGAAAGCGGCUUACUGGGUCUCUUCUGACGCUGAGAUACGAAAGCUAGGGGAGCGAACGGG